GCACCAGAUUUUUGGGUAUAACGGAAAAAAAACACCUACCACUGGCCACCAGAACAGAGCAUAUACUCUCUUUUGUUUUCUUCAGCUUCUUCCUAUGAGCUAGCCGGCCAUUAGCUCCCUCUUCGCUAAUCACAAAGAAUUCAUGAUUUGAUUUUUCUGAAGUCUCAAAAAUGGUGUGUUCAGGUAGAAUACUGUGUUUAUCUUGCUCAACGACGCCGUUUUGUUCUUCUACUUCCAGAUAUCUCCAUAGAAGGAACCUUAGAAAUAAUACUAAUAAUAUUAAAUGGCGAUCUAUGGCCUCCGAUGCUGAUGCCUCUGCAUUUACUACUUCUUUUGAUUCUGAAUCCUCCGAUAAAACUGCCCCCGGGUUUUGUAUAAUAGAAGGGCCAGAGACAGUAGAGGACUUUGCCAAAAUGGAGUUGCAAGAAAUUCGAGAUAAUAUUAGAAGUCGGAGAAACAAGAUAUUUUUGCAUAUGGAGGAGGUACGGCGGCUAAGAAUACAACAAAGGCUAAAAAGUGCUGAGCUUGGGAUACUAACGGAUGAGCAAGAAAAUGAGCUUCCUAAUUUCCCAUCAUUUAUUCCCUUUUUGCCUCCACUUACAUCAGCAAAUCUUAAGCAAUAUUAUGCUACCUGUUUCUCACUCAUUGCCGGAAUUAUGCUUUUUGGUGGACUUCUAGCGCCUACUUUGGAGCUGAAAUUGGGAUUAGGAGGCACAUCAUAUGCCGAUUUCAUCCAAAGCAUGCAUCUACCAAUGCAACUGAGUCAGGUUGAUCCAAUUGUGGCAUCAUUCUCUGGGGGUGCGGUUGGGGUGAUCUCUGCAUUGAUGGUUGUUGAAAUCAAUAAUGUGAAACAGCAGGAGCAUAAGAGAUGCAAGUACUGUCUCGGAACUGGAUACCUUGCUUGCGCUCGAUGUUCUAGCACUGGAGCUCUUGUUCUUAUCGAGCCUGUUUCGACAUUUAAUGGAGCGGACAAACCUCUGUCACCACCUAAUACAGAAAGGUGUCCCAACUGUUCAGGCGCAGGAAAGGUCAUGUGCCCAACGUGUCUUUGUACUGGGAUGGCUAUGGCAAGUGAACAUGAUCCACGUAUUGAUCCCUUCGAUUAAAUAGCAGAUAGAUUUCCUUCCUGAGACUUUUAGCAUUGAAGAUGUAAAGUUCAGAUGAAGCAUCAACACCUAUUUAAAAAGAUCUCUUCUACAGCGAUUUAUAUUCCUCAAUCAGUCGGGACGCAUGGAGACGGGAUGUAGGAACCAUAGUGCAUCCUAGACUCUGAAGAUAUGCGAUCUGCCACAAGGGAACAAAACAACUGAAUGAGCUUACCCCGAGCUCCAAGAAUAAGUCCUUAGUUACAGGCAGUAUUACUGUGUACUCUCUAUAGUUACAACUCGUGGCCGUUAUAAAAUCUGAAGCAGCACAUUAUUGCGUGAU